rnacentral:rRNA from 1 species
UACGUAGGGGGCUAGCGUUGUCCGGAAUCAUUGGGCGUAAAGCGCGCGUAGGCGGCCAGAUAAGUCCGGUGUGAAAGUCAAAGGCUCAACCUUUGAAUGCCGCUGGAAACUGUCUGGCUUGAGUCCGGAAGGGGCGAGUGGAAUUCCUGGUGUAGCGGUGAAAUGCGCAGAUAUCAGGAGGAACACCGGUGGCGAAGGCGGGUCUCUGGGCAAUAACUGACGCUGAGGAGCGAAAGCGUGGGGAGCGAACAGG